GAUGAACGCUGGCGGCGUGCCUAAUACAUGCAAGUCGAGCGAACAGACGAGGAGCUUGCUCCUCUGACGUUAGCGGCGGACGGGUGAGUAACACGUGGAUAACCUACCUAUAAGACUGGGAUAACUUCGGGAAACCGGAGCUAAUACCGGAUAAUAUAUUGAACCGCAUGGUUCAAUAGUGAAAGACGGUUUUGCUUUCACUUAUAGAUGGAUCCGCGCCGCAUUAGCUAGUUGGUAAGGUAACGGCUUACCAAGGCAACGAUGCGUAGCCGACCUGAGAGGGUGAUCGGCCACACUGGAACUGAGACACGGUCCAGACUCCUACGGGAGGCAGCAGUAGGGAAUCUUCCGCAAUGGGCGAAAGCCUGACGGAGCAACGCCGCGUGAAUGAUGAAGGUCUUCGGAUCGUAAAACUCUGUUAUUAGGGAAGAACAAAUGUGUAAGUAACUAUGCACGUCUUGACGGUACCUAAUCAGAAAGCCACGGCUAACUACGUG
rnacentral:rRNA from 1 species